rnacentral:rRNA from 1 species
AGGAUGAACGCUGGCGGCGUGCCUAAGGUAUGCAAGUCGAACGGGAAUUAUAUUGCAGCAAUGUAAUGUAAUUUUAGUGGCAAACGGGUGAGUAAUGCGUAGAUAAUCUACCCCUAACAUUAGAAUAACACUGCGAAAGCAGUGCUAAUACUAUGUGUGGUGCAAGAGUGAAACUCUUUUGCAUUAAAGGAGCAAUCCGGUUAGGGAUGAGUCUGCGUCCUAUCAGCUUGUUGGCGGGGUAAAGGCCCACCAAGGCUACGACGGGUAACUGGUCUGAGAGGAUGAUCAGUCACAUUGGAACUGCGACACGGUCCAAACUCCUACGGGAGGCAGCAACCAGGAAUAUUGCGCAAUGGGGGAAACCCUGACGCAGCGACGCCGCGUGGAGGAGAAGGCCUUGGGUUGUAACUCCUUUUACAGAAGAAUAAUGAUAGUACCUGUAGAAUAAGUGACUGCUAACUACGUGCCAGCAGGCCGC